AACAUCGCGCACCUGCGGGAACCUGCGGAGGGAUCAUUAGAGAAUUGUACCAAAAAAAAUAUGGACAAUCCAUCCAUAUCCCCACCUUGUGUGCAUCUAUUGAAAUUAUGCUUUGGGAGGUCUCUCUCUUUUUUCGAGAGAGAUUUCAGCCUCCCAAGGUUUUUUUUUUGAACCACUUUUUUAUAUUUCAGUUUCUUACGAAAAAAAAAAUAAAAUAAAAUAAAAUACAACUUUUAACAA
rnacentral:misc_RNA from 1 species